AUACCUCUUUUUCAACUUUCUGGCAACGAAAAAAAACAACGUUUAGUUUUAGCCAGGUCGGACGUGAUUGUUUAGUUUUUGGAUUUUGCUUGAAAAUUACGCCUUCAAUUACUGCCCGUUUAAAGUAAUUCAUCCGUCUCUACCGAAACUUGUGCAACGAAAAUCCGAUACGAAGCGCCACUCUGGUUGCAGGCAACAACACAAAAUAUAUGGGCACAAAUUUGUAUAGCAAUGAAAGUGGAAAUCGUGUGAUGUCAUGUUGACGACAAAACUGUGCUCUGCCGUUUUUUGUUAAUUGAAACAACUUCCUGCGCUGCCAACUGCUGCUGUGUGGGUGUGGGAGAGUGUGCAACACGCGCCUGGAAUAGUUGUUCCAAGUGCGACAAGUGUAAAAAAACACACAUUUUGGCUUGUGGAAAAAGAAUUGAAUUGAACAGAAAUUCCAAUUUUCAUUCCACUUCACUGGAGAGUAGCACAAAAGAGAAAAGGUAAAACGCACACGCACACACCAGCGCAGCGCAGAGCUGAGAACAUCACAGUGUGUGUGUGUGUGGAGUUAUGAACGCCUCUCCACAUUUUGAAUGUGUUUGAGUAAACGGGAAACUGCAGAAGCUCCAGCGCCACCACAACCCCCUGCACUCCACGUCCGGCAUAAACAAAACGAGAGGAACAUUUUGUAUUGAUUUCCCUCCAAAAACAAAAACAGGGAGAACUAGAAAUCUACGAUUCCGCCCAAGCAACAGGAGAGUCACAGGAGGAGUCAGUGCCACGCCUACGGGCUGCCUUUACCGUCCGAUCCACCCGCAUUUCCCUUCCAACACGCCCCUAUCCACCAGCCAUGUCCAGCCCCAGCCAAACAGAGGGCAGCCAAUCCCUCGAGGAGCUGCGCAUGGAAGUGGAGCGUCUGACCCGAGAACUUGACCAGGUAUCCUCCGCCAGCGCCCAGUCUGCCCAAUAUGGCUUGUCCCUGUUGGAGGAGAAGUCGGCGCUGGAGCAGAAAUGCGAGGAGCUGGAAACUCUCUACGAUAACACACGGCACGAGCUGGACAUAACGCAAGAGGCCCUAACAAAGUUCCAGAGCUCACAGAAGGUCACCAACAAGACGGGCAUCGAGCAGGAGGAUGCACUGCUCAAUGAGUCCGCGGCCAGGGAAACCUCGCUCAAUCUGCAAAUCUUUGACCUGGAGAACGACACAAAACAGCUGCGCCAUGAGCUGGAGCGAGUGCGAAACGAGCGCGAUCGCAUGCUGCAGGAGAACUCGGACUUUGGUCGUGACAAGAGUGACAACGAGGCAGAACGACUGCGUCUCAAGUCCGAGUUAAAGGAUCUAAAGUUUCGGGAGACGCGUAUGCUCAGUGAGUACUCUGAGCUGGAAGAGGAGAACAUAUCGCUGCAGAAGCAAGUCUCCAAUCUGCGUAGCUCUCAGGUGGAGUUUGAAGGGGCCAAACAUGAGAUUCGUCGUCUCACCGAGGAGGUUGAGCUGCUAAAUCAACAGGUGGAUGAGCUGGCGAAUCUCAAGAAGAUUGCCGAAAAGCAAAUGGAGGAGGCUCUGGAGGCAUUGCAGGGGGAACGGGAGGCAAAGUAUGCGCUGAAGAAGGAGCUGGAUGGCCAUUUGAAUCGCGAGUCCAUGUAUCACAUCAGCAAUCUGGCCUACAGCAUACGCAACAAUAUGGAGGACAAUGUCAGCCAGAAUUCGGAUGGCGAGGAGGAGAAUCUAGCACUGAAACGCCUGGAGGCUGACCUGAGCACCGAACUGAAAUCUCCCGAUGGCACCAAAUGCGAUCUCUUCUCCGAAAUCCAUCUGAAUGAGCUGAAGAAGCUCGAAAAACAGCUGGAGAGCAUGGAGAACGAGAAGACUCAUCUGACGGCCAAUCUGCGGGAGGCUCAAACGAGUCUGGACAAGUCACAAAACGAGUUGCAGAACUUCAUGUCCCGCCUGGCACUAUUGGCCGCCCAUGUGGAUGCUUUGGUUCAGCUGAAGAAGCAGAUCGAUGUCAAGGACCAGACGGCUGCGCAGGACCAGAAGGAUGAACUGCAGCAGCAGCUGCGGGCAAUCAUCUCGCAGUACGCCAACUGGUUCACGCUCUCCGCCAAGGAGAUCGAUGGCCUCAAGACUGACAUUUCCGAGCUUCAAAAGGGCCUCAACUACACAGAUGCCACCACCACGUUGCGCAAUGAGGUGACAAAUCUGAAGAACAAGCUCCUAGCCACCGAGCAAAAGUCCCUGGAUCUGCAGAGCGAUGUGAAGACCCUCACGCACAUCUCCCAGAAUGCCGGCCAGAGCCUGGGCUCGGCUCGCAGCACUCUGGUGGCCCUCAGCGAUGAUCUGGCUCAGCUUUAUCAUCUGGUCUGCACUGUCAAUGGGGACACUCCCACACGUGUACUACUGGAUCAUAAGAGCGAUGAUAUGAGCUUUGAGAACGAUUCGCUUACUGCCAUCCAGUCACAGUUCAAGUCCGAUGUGUUUAUUGCUCGUCCACAAAUCGUUGAGGAUCUCCAGGGUUUGGCCGAUUCGGUGGAGAUCAAGAAGUAUGUGGACACGGUCAGCGAUCAGAUCAAGCAUUUGAAGACAGCUGUGGAGCAUACCAUCGAUUUGAACAAACACAAAGUUCGCUCCGAGAGUGGAGAUGCUGUGGAAAAGGGCAACACCGAGGAAAUGGAAGAGUUGCAGGAGCAAAUAGUCAAGCUCAAGAGUUUGCUGUCGGUGAAACGAGAACAAAUCGGAACCCUUCGUAAUGUGCUCAAGUCAAACAAACAAACCGCCGAGGUGGCUCUUACCAAUCUCAAGUCCAAGUACGAGAACGAAAAGAUUAUUGUCAGCGACACCAUGUCCAAGCUGCGUAACGAGCUCCGUUUGCUCAAAGAAGAUGCAGCCACCUUCUCCAGUCUGCGUGCCAUGUUUGCUGCACGCUGUGAGGAGUAUGUCACUCAAGUGGAUGAUCUCAAUCGCCAGCUAGAGGCUGCCGAGGAGGAGAAGAAGACACUCAAUCAGCUGCUGCGUUUGGCUGUCCAGCAGAAGCUGGCCCUUACCCAGCGUCUGGAGGAGAUGGAAAUGGAUCGGUGGGUGCAUUUGGGUCGCUAAAAGUCAGCCAUAAAUCCCCUACACAUAUCUGUCACUGUCACAUAAAGUUCUGUUAUGUUCUUCCUUGUAUCCCUCCCAAUUCCCGAGACUCCAGCAUUCGCGAAAUGCGUCAUGUGCGUCGUCCGAUGCCACAGCAGAGUGCCACACGCGGCAAGUCCUCGUUCAGUACACGUCCAUCGAGCAGGAAUCCAGCGAGCAGUAAUGCAAAUCCCUUCUAACAUAAAAUCAGCGUGCAGCGUAAACUUUUGGCUUUAGUUUAUACUUUGCUUAAGUUGUAAGUUUGUUGGAGUUCCUUCAGACAGAGAGAGAGAUUUAUAAAGAGAUCAGCCCUGCAGCAAUACACAAAACUUACUGCAGAUUGUGAACGAUUUGAGAACCAAGCUAUAACUAUUCUCCAUCUAACUACUAUAACUAUAUAUUUGUUUGUAUUGUAUUUGUAUUUAUUGAAAGUUUAGUUAGAAUGAAAGUUUUGUGUUAGACAAGAUCGAAAGGAAGCCGGAAGCAGUAAAUGGUUAUUAACGGUUAGUUACUUAAACGUCCAAUUAAUUUAAUUAAGACGAAACAAAAAGUGUGAGGUAAACGAGAAGAUAAAACGUAACGAAUUGUAUUUUUCUAAAUGCGAAUCACAUGUACUAUAUGUAUUCGAUAGCGUCCUAGUUUCAUAUCAAUUUGAUUUUUGUUAAGUUUCGCGUUGAAUUUUGAAUUUUUGUUAUCAACGCUGUGCGCAAGCAAGGAAAAGUAAAA